rnacentral:lncRNA from 1 species
CACAACUGAAGAAUCUUUUCUUUUGAAAGUAAAAUAUUUUUUCUUAUUGCUUCUUUCACUACCAACCAAAUUGUAGUGAAAUGAUUUGUCUUAAUAAUUUUCUUUUCUUUUCUUAAACUAUUAUCUGUUUAGAAAUUAUAAUAUGAAACUAUUGGUUCGACAUAACGACUAUCUAAAAGUCAUAACAUGAAAAUAAACAAAUAAUAUUAAUUUUUGGUUUUUACUGGAAAAAACCAAAAAAAUCAAAUAUUUUAACCUAAUAAUAGUUAUAUUUUGGAAGAUUAAAAAAAAAAAAAAAACUUAAAACCGAACCAAUAUCCAAACUAAAGAAUUUAAUGUCUUUUUAUUACGUAGCUAUUAUAGUAAAUCACAAACACACAAACAGACACACACAUGUAUGUAUACAUUGUAUAAUUCUGUAAAGAAAACUUUGUGUUCUGUUCUCAUAUAGAACUUUGUAUUAUAUAUAGUUUUUAAAUUUAACUCAAACAACUUCCUUUUUUGUUGUGGGGUUUUUUGGCCUAAUUCAAUGCUUGUUUUCUUUUUG